UACGAAGGGUGCGAGCGUUGUUCGGAAUUACUGGGCGUAAAGGGCGCGUAGGCGGCCAUCUAAGUCAGACGUGAAAUCCCCCGGCUUAACCUGGGAACUGCGUCUGAUACUGGAAGGCUUGAGUAUGGGAGAGGGAUGUAGAAUUCCAGGUGUAGCGGUGAAAUGCGUAGAUAUCUGGAGGAAUACCGGUGGCGAAGGCGGCAUCCUGGACCAUUACUGACGCUGAGGCGCGAAAGCUAGGGGAGCAAACGGG
rnacentral:rRNA from 1 species